rnacentral:rRNA from 1 species
UGGGAAAUUUUGGACAAUGGGCGCAAGCCUGAUCCAGCCAUGCCGCGUGCAGGAUGAAGGCCUUCGGGUUGUAAACUGCUUUUGUACGGAACGAAAAGACUCUGGUUAAUACCUGGGGUCCAUGACGGUACCGUAAGAAUAAGCACCGGCUAACUACGUGCCAGCAGCCGCGGUAAUACGUAGGGUGCGAGCGUUAAUCGGAAUUACUGGGCGUAAAGCGUGCGCAGGCGGUUAUAUAAGACAGAUGUGAAAUCCCCGGGCUCAACCUGGGACCUGCAUUUGGGACUGUAUAGCUAGAGUACGGUAGAGGGGGAUGGAAUUCCGCGUGUAGCAGUGAAAUGCGUAGAUAUGCGGAGGAACACCGAUGGCGAAGGCAAUCCCCUGGACCUGUACUGACGCUCAUGCACGAAAGCGUGGGGAGCAAACA